GCUCUCCUGAGGUCCUGGGAACUGAGUUUUCCCCAAAGGUCUGCUGAAAACAUGGGCCUAGACAGAUUGCUGUGACACGUGCAUCAGCCUAUGUCCCCGAUGCUGCAGGACUAGCCCUGGCAGUGAGGGCCGGGCUGCUGGGCAGGAAAAAUGCUAUGGGAAGGAGAAAUUUCUCAGUGACUUUAUCUGCAUCUAACCUGAGAGCCUGAAAAAAAAAAAAACUUGAGUUGAUUAU
rnacentral:lncRNA from 1 species